AACGAACGCUGGCGGCGUGCUUAACACAUGCAAGUCGAACGCGAAAGGGGACUUCGGUCCCCCGGUAGAGUGGCGCACGGGUGAGUAACGCGUAGAUAAUCUACCCCUAUAUUUGGAAUAACAAUUCGAAAGGAUUGCUAAUACCGGAUACCCUUAUUUAGACGCGAGUUUAAGUGAGGAAAGGUGACCUCUCCUUGGAAGUUACUGUAUAGGGAUGAGUCUGCGUACCAUUAGCUAGUAGGUAGGGUAACGGCCUACCUAGGCGACGAUGGUUAGCGGGUCUGAGAGGAUGAUCCGCCACACUGGAACUGGAACACGGACCAGACUCCUACGGGUGGCUG
rnacentral:rRNA from 1 species